GAUGAACGCUAGCGGCAGGCCUAAUACAUGCAAGUCGAACGGGAUCCAGAUCAAAGCUUGCUUUGGUCUGGUGAGAGUGGCGCACGGGUGCGUAACGCGUGAGCAACCUACCCUUGUCAGGGGGAUAGCCCGGCGAAAGUCGGAUUAAUACCGCAUGACAUCAUUGAGAGGCAUCUUUCGAUGAUCAAAGAUUUAUCGGACAAGGAUGGGCUCGCGUGACAUUAGCUAGUUGGUAAGGUAACGGCUUACCAAGGCUGCGAUGUCUAGGGGCUCUGAGAGGAAAAUCCCCCACACUGGUACUGAGGCACGGACCAGACUCCUACGGGAGGCAGCAGUAUGGAAUAUUGGUCAAUGGACGGUAGUCUGAACCAGCCAUGCCGCUUGCAGGAAGCCGGCCCUAUGGGUUGUAAUCUGCUUUUAUACGGGAACAACCGUCGGUACGUGUACCGGUCUGAGUGUACCGUAAGAAUAAGGAUCGGCUAACUCCGUG
rnacentral:rRNA from 1 species